rnacentral:miRNA from 1 species
UUGGUGCAAAAGUAAUUGCGGUUUUUGCCAUUACUUUUCAAAUGGCAAAAACCGCAACUACUUUUGCACCAACCUAAUA